CCCCUCUUCCUGUUCCUGUUGGCAGGUGUCUUUCUAAUGGUCAUUUACAUUCACACCCAAGUUUUAGACGGCCAAAGGAAAACAAUCAGUCUGCUACAGGAGCAAAUAGAAAAUGAGGGGAAGGACAAGAAGUUCUUAAUUACUAGUCUGCAGGCCAUCCAUGAGAAGAGGCAGUAUCCACUGUCCCCUUCCUCCAGGCCUCAGCCACAGGGCAGUGAGGUUUAAUAUGUUUUAGUGGAAGAUUAAAUUAUUCCAGAGUAUUCAUUGGAUGCUGCAUGUUAAAUUUUGGACUCCCAUCACAUCAAGGAUAUUUGGCUGCUAUCAACCAGUCAAAGUGAACUCAAAGUGGAGUGAUGUGUGUGUGUGUGUGGUGAAGGACAUUGAGACAUUUCUUGUAGAAUGUAACUAUGACUGAUAUGUGUUCAAGACUAUCGGAAUGUAAAGUAACUGAGGUUGAUAUCUAUUCAAGACUAUCAGAAUGUGAAGUAACUGAGACUGAUAUGUAUUCUAGACCAUCAAAAUGUGAAGUAACUGAGACUGAUAUGUAUUCAAGACCAUCCGAGGUGUGUUUUAUACUAGUAUGGUAGUAUAACUGUCUAAUUUGCCUUUUGUUAAUAUAUAUUUAUUGUAUCUAGGCUGCCUGUCACCGCUUUCAAGCUUCAAUGUAUACUGAACAAAAAUAUAAACGCAACAUGCAACAAUUUCAACGAUUUUACUGAGUUACAGUUUGUCAUGACGUUGCAGUCUUUGGGUACAGUGAGCACCCCUCCCUCUGCACCAGCCCUUUUCUAUGCACCAUCCCCCUACCCCCCUGUGUCCUACACCCAGGCUGCUGUGGUCAGAGAGAGGUUGUAAAUUCCUGGAGGAGAUUAUCUCCUCAUGGCCACAGUAUAAAGACAGAGUGAGUUUUC